UAUCACUACUCUUCUCCACAGUUGGCUACUCUGUCUCUGGGUGCCGCCCCUUGCCUCUCCGAUGGUUGGGGAUUGUGUGAAUUCCAUCUGCAGCGGCUUCUCAUUUUUUCCUGCCUAGGUUAUCCUUGUGGCUGUCAACUUGUGCUCAUCCGGCCUGAUUUUUCAGGCAUGUGAUGGAACCAGGGUAUACACGCACCCUGUUGUCUUUUUACUCCCACUACGGACCAGCAGAAUCCAAACUCUGAUCUCAACCACCCCUGAAGAAGCCUGACCGGGCGAAAUAUAUAGGGUUUACCAACCGGGUUGCGAUCUCCGUUACAGUACUGAUGUCUGUUAUGGGAACCUUUUAACUUUGUACUCUUGAUCAGGUUGUUGAGCUGUGUAGUGGGCUCCUGUGAGGUCUAUGAUAUGCCUUACAACCUGACGCUACUCUGUUUUUUAAUAAAUCAUUAAAAUUUAUAUUAUUU